GGACUGGAUGCAUGGGCUUCACAAUUGUAAUGAUCAACUGCUGCUAACCGUCUUUCUGUGCAUUUUCAUAAGGAAUUCUGUGCAGGCUCAUGUGUCAGUUGGAAGAGUGCGUUCCAUUUUGCAAAAGACAUCACAUGUGCCUUACCCAAAGGACUCAGAGUUUUUUCAUGCAUAUUUACAUUUUGAGGCACUGACCCACCAUGAUUAUAACUUUUCAUGUCUAAAAUGUGGUCAUCAUCCUCCAGUUGUUGUGAUGGAUUUACACAGAAAGGGAGUGUUCAGCAUGCCAGUCAGUGACAUAAGUGAACCACAUGAAACCUACAAUGGUGAGGUGAAUUCAGAGGACUUCUGGGAGACUCUUUCAAUGGAGAGGAUUGCAGCUGGCUUGUUGAAAA